rnacentral:lncRNA from 1 species
CCUCCAACUCGGCCGGUGGCGGGCCGGUCGCCCAGCAGGGGGACCCCGGGGAGGACCGGCCGCGGAUUGGAGCGAAGUUGGAAGCCCUCUCCGCCUCCCGGCAGUGGGGUGACGGUGGGAGGGAAUGGAACUAGCCUUUGAGAAGUUAAUCUGGAUGUCAACUGUACUGAUGUUCCGGACAGAUGUGGCCCCCUAAAAUUCCCAUGCUGAAGCCUAACGCCCAAUGAGACUGUAUUUGGAGACACAGUCUAUCAGGAGUCUGCCCCACUCCUCUUCUGGUUGAGUGACGUGAAAUUCAAGCCUAUCUGGUGUUUAUCCUCCGACUGUUUUAUAUCCCAGCCACUGCGGCUCUAAUAGAAUACUUGUAUGUGUGUAUGCUCAGUUGUAUGUGACUCUUUGUAACCCCAUGGACGUAGCCCCGCCAGGCUCCUCUGUCUAUGGAACUUUCCAAGCAAGAAUAUUGGAGCAGAUUGCCAUUUCCUACUCCAGAGGAUCCUCCCAACCCAGUGAAUGAAGCCACAUCUCUUGUGUCUCCUGCAUUGGCAGGCAUGUUCUUUACCACUGCACCAGCUGGGAAACCACCAAUAGAAUACUUAGAUGGCCUUUAAUGUUUCCAACUCUCUGAGUCAGGGAUUUACAGUCACUGUAUUUUUGGCACCACCCACCAAAUUUCCCAGAAUAUUUCCAAAUUUUCCAGCUGGAAUUUAAUGAGGUGAACCCUGCAAACCAGUUUCUUUUGGAGGGGUAACUUGAAGUGGAUCUCCCCAAUACCUCUUGGGAUAAGAUAGGGCAAAGCGGGGGCUGCCUUUUGUUUUAGAAGGAUGACAGCUAGGCUUGUCUUUAG